rnacentral:misc_RNA from 1 species
AAGACUAUAGACCUGCGGAGUACCUGCGGAAGGAUCAUUAACAACAAAUCUUGUGUGUGUGUGUGGGUGUGUGUGUGUGUGGUAUGUGUUUUAGGUGUGUAUUUACUUUUACUUACUGUGCCUAUAACUGGCCCCACAUAUAUACAUACAUACAUAUAUAUAUGCGCUCCAGCGGUUGUCUGGAUGCACAAUGUACGCUUUUAUUGUCUUGUUGUUAUUUUUGUGGGUUUAAAAUGUUAU